GCGCCGGUGGUGUAAAGGCGUAGAGCAUUCCCGUUUGGUCAGAAGGAGGUGUGGGUUCGAAUCCCGCCUGGCGCU
rfam:Heligmosomoides polygyrus genome assembly, scaffold: HPBE_contig0001865